GACGAACGCUGGCGGCGUGCUUAACACAUGCAAGUCGAACGGAAAGGCCCUGCUUUUGUGGGGUUCUCGAGUGGCGAACGGGUGAGUAACACGUGAGUAACCUGCCCUUGUCUUUGGGAUAACUUCAGGAAACUGGGGCUAAUACCGGAUAUGAUCUCCUGCUGCAUGGUGGGGGUUGGAAAGUUUCGGCUGUUGGGGAUGGACUCGCGGCUUAUGAGCUUGUUUGUGGGGUAGUGGCUUACCAAGGCUUUGACGGGUAGCCGGCAUGAGGGGUGUAACGGGGACAAGGGGACUGAGAGACGGAGCAGAAUGGUACGGGAGGCAAUAGUGGGGAAUAUGGCACAGUGGGCGGGAGCGUGAGACAAAAGCGUCGGGUGCGGGAUGACGGGCUUCGGGGUAUAAACAGCUGUGGACUGUGACGAAGCGGGAGUGACGGUAAUGGAUAAAGAAGCACCGGCUAACUACGUG
rnacentral:rRNA from 1 species